ACUGGUAUCAGUGGUGUGCGCCUGUAAUCCAAGCUACUGGGAGGCUGAGGCUACAGAUUGCUUGAGCGCAGGGUUCUGGGCUGCAGUGGACUAUGUUGUUUGGGUGUCCGCACUAAGUUCGGUCUCGAUAUGUUGCUUCUGGGGGAGCUCGGGACCACCAGGUCGCCUAAGGAGGGGUACACCAGGUCAGGUCAAAGUCCCUGUGCUGAUCGGUAGUAGGAUUGUGCCUGUGAAUAGACACUGCAGCCUGAGAAACGCAAACUUUUUUGUUUGUCUUUU
rfam:Danio rerio chromosome 11, GRCz11 reference primary assembly.